rnacentral:rRNA from 1 species
UACGUAGGGUGCAAGCGUUGUCCGGAAUUAUUGGGCGUAAAGAGCUCGUAGGCGGUCUGUCGCGUCGGCUGUGAAAACCCGGAGCUCAACUCCGGGCCUGCAGUCGAUACGGGCAGACUGGAGUUCGGCAGGGGAGACUGGAAUUCCUGGUGUAGCGGUGAAAUGCGCAGAUAUCAGGAGGAACACCGGUGGCGAAGGCGGGUCUCUGGGCAGUAACUGACGCUGAGGAGCGAAAGCGUGGGUAGCGAACAGG